rnacentral:rRNA from 1 species
UACGUAGGGUGCAAGCGUUGUCCGGAAUUAUUGGGCGUAAAGAGCUCGUAGGCGCUUGUCACGUCGCUGUGAAAACCUGGGGCUCAACCCCGGGCCUGCAGCCGAUACGGGCAAGCUAGAAUUCGGUAGGGGAGACUGGAAUUCCUGGUGUAGCGGUGAAAUGCGCAGAUAUCAGGAGGAACACCGGUGGCGAAGGCGGUCUGCCUGGGCAGUAGCUGACGCUGAGGAGCGAAAGCGUGGGGAGCGAACAGG